UACGUAGGGACCGAGCGUUGUCCGGAUUCAUUGGGCGUAAAGCGCACGUAGGCGGCUCCAAAAGUCGGAUGUGAAAUCCCUGGGCUCAACCGAGGAAGUGCAUCCGAAACUGCGGAGCUUGAGUAUGGAAGAGGGUCGCGGAAUUCCCGGUGUAGAGGUGAAAUUCGUAGAUAUCGGGAGGAACACCAGUGGCGAAGGCGGCGACCUGGGCCAAUACUGACGCUGAGGUGCGAAAGCGUGGGGAGCAAACAGG
rnacentral:rRNA from 1 species